rnacentral:misc_RNA from 1 species
UACGUAGGGUGCGAGCGUUGUUCGGAAUUAUUGGGCGUAAAGGGCUCGUAGGCGGUUUGUCGCGUCGGGAGUGAAAACCCAGGGCUUAACCCUGGGCUUGCUUUCGAUACGGGCAGACUGGAGGCAUGCAGGGGAGAACGGAAUUCCUGGUGUAGCGGUGAAAUGCGCAGAUAUCAGGAGGAACACCGGUGGCGAAGGCGGUUCUCUGGGCAUGUCCUGACGCUGAGGAGCGAAAGUGUGGGGAGCGAGCGGG